AAAGCCCAGCAGCACCAGGCCCAGGAACAGGGGGGCGACGAGCGGACCGAGGCGGCCGGCAGUCAUGGUGCUGCGCCCGGCGGGGUGCAGGAACUCUCUGCUGCUGAAGGCUAUAAGCGGGUCUGGGGCAGUGACCCUUGGGAUGACAGGCAGCCCUCUGAUUACCCUCUGAGGGGCUCCUGGAGGCAGACCGCCUGACAGCCAUUGUCCAGGUCACCGGGCAUGACCAGACCUCCUGUCACUCAUCCUCCAGACCGCCUGGCAUCUGAUAACCAUCCUGAAUCAAUCGAAGAAUGCAGGACUGAUCAUUCUCAAGAUUGUGCUUUUACUAUAAGAACUCUUAACUUUCCUUUCUUCUUUAAAACACUUCUGUGUCUUUUCCUAAUUUUGUUUUCAGUUUGCAAACCCCAAAACUCUUAAUAAACCUUUG